UCCAUGUAUACAGAAAUCACUGUUUUAGAAAAAAAAUAAAAACGGAAAAAAAAUACACACCCAAAAAACAGAAAAAACAAAAGUAAAAACUCCGGAGCUGCUGCGGAGGCAGUGGAUUGAAUGGCUCAAAAACGUGUUUUCCCUCCGAAAUAAAACAUGCACUUGGAACCCACAUGUGCUUUGGAGGUUACACAAGUGAAAGAAAAUAAUAAAACAGAACAGAAAAGAGAGGAGAGAGAGAGAGAGAGAGAGGGAAACCAGAAGGAGGAGACCGUCGACCAGUGACGACCACUACAACCACCGACCUGGUGUCCACCGAUGACCGUCGCUGACCACCACCCACCUCUCUUUUCCAUUCGCACACUUGCAGCUUCUGAAUUUUAUUUUUAUUUUUGAUCUGAGAUGCAUCUGUGAGAGGAACAAUGGAUAUGCCAAAUUGUGUGACAUGAUGUCUGUAAUUUUUUUUUUUUUGGUUGUUCUGGAGUCAGACCCUCUUUUAGACAUCUUCCAUUGUAUUGAUGCAUUCCAAGUGUUUGAUGAAAGUCCCCAUUGGAGUCAGACCCUCUUUAUUGGUCCUCUUUAUUAGUGGUACCUGUUAUUGUUGUCUAAAAAUUAAGGUGUUUUAGACCUCCAAUCUUUACAUGCAUGGGAUGUAAAACCAGUAUUAUGUUUAACAGAGAUUAAACAUUCACAAAUUAUAUUCUAUUUAACAGAGAAUAAACAUUCACAAAUGAUUCGGAGGUGACAGAAUAACAACUUUCCGCCAUUGAUUUCGGAGGAGAUAUCGAAUGAUUCGGAGAUGCUUCGGAAGAACGAUGACUUAGCGGAAGACAGAGCAAUAGAGAGAGAGAGAGUUUGGAUAUGAGAAGAAAAAUGAGGAGAUAGAGCGAGAUAGAGGUGCUAGCGCGUGAACCCACGUUUUCGGGCCGUUCGAGCCGAAGUGUUCGAGCCCUGAAGCAUUUUCCUAAAAACUCUUACACACCCACACUCAUUUCACAAGGAAAAUGUUUCGUAGUCCAAAAUUUUGUGAUUCAAAUGGUUCAAAUUUGUCAAAACGACGUCGUUUUACACUCAAAAUCUGUUAAAACGACGUUGUUUUGGGUGAUUUGAGCCAUUUGAGUCACAAAAUUUUGAGUUACCUAGCAUUGUUGAUUUCAGAAAUAGAAAAACAGUGUCACCGAGAGAGAGAGAGAGCUCACCGAGAGAGACAAGCACCUCACCGGUCUGAUCUGAGAUAGAUGAGAGUGUGAGAGACGAGAAGCCCUGUAGAAGAUACUUGUGCCCAUUAAAGUAAUUUAUUAUUUGCUGAUAUACAUGUUCGAUGGUUGAAAUAUGUUAGGGCAAUGACCUCAAACCCAUUGAUCGUCUUUCUGAAAUGCCAGAUGACAUUCUCUCUUUCAUUCUCUCAUUUUUGAGUAUUAGAGAUUCUGUCAAAGCAAGGUACUCAAUGAGUAAGUUUGUAACUGAAGUUGAUCAAUUUUUGGAACUAUACAAUGGUCAAAAGCUAGACUCUCUCAGGAUCUGUUUUUGUCUUGGUAACGAGUACGCUGGUAAUGUUGAUAGGUGGAUUAGAUUUGCAAUUAUAAUGAAAACUGAAAAGCUUGAUCUUGACUUUUCUGCUAGUCCUGAAAGUCAGCUUCUUCCUCAACCUCAAGGUGAUUCAUCUCAAUUAAAGUAUUUGUGCGUAAAAUCAUGCAACCUAAGGCCAACCCCUAAUCUCCCUAAAAUCCCUUGAUUUAGAACGUGUGCCUCUAAAUCAAAGUUAUGCUAACAGUUUCCUUUUUAGUUGUUUAAACCUUGAAUGGUUGAGGCUAAAGAACAGUAUUCUACCUGAAACUUUAUGGAUUCAUGGUCCAUCCCUCCAUUUGAAGAUUUUGGUUGUGCAUGAAUGCUAUGGAGUAGAGAAGUUUGAGAUUUCUUCUAUUGGUCUUACCACAUUUGAAUAUAUUGGUAAGGUGAAAAACUUCUCUUUUCUUGACGUUCCUUGGUUGGAAAAAGUGCAUAUCAGGUUCAUGGUUGCAUAUGAGAGGGGCACACAAUAUAUGUUCAAUGGAAUUGCAAAUGAUCUUCUUCGGCUUCAACCCUAUCACUAGUUUUGACAAUAGAAGAGGUCCUCCCAAUACCUGCAAGGAUAACUAGAUUCAACUCUCUCGAACAAUUGGAGUUGUUUGUUUUGGUAUCAUCAGACUUUAACCUUCUCUCUCUUACUUUGCUCUUAAAUGCUUCUUCUCUUCUGCAGAAGCUCCAUUUGUCGGUACAUUGCUAAGACAUUGUAUGGUGAUGAUGAUGAAGAGGUUACUCCUCAAAAUAGCGGCACAGUGGAGGAGCCAAAAUGUUUAGGUCUUUACCUUGGAUCAAAUGAGAAGAUUCUCUUGAAGAAUGGUCCUUAUGGAUUCUAUGUUCAGCUUGGUGAGGAGAGGAAGGGAUACCUGCCUAAAAGAGCCUCAGUUUCCCAAUUUUCCUGUAUCUAUGUUACGUAAACCAUCCCGAUGAUGGCCAGCCAGUUGUAUUGAAGCUUGCAAAGUUUGGAUUUUCCAUUAGACAUUGACGUACAAUCGCGCCUGUACCUGAGAACUUGAAGCCGAAUGAUAUAACCUUUGAGAAAGCAUUAGAGCUUUUGUUGGGUAAGGAUGUAAAACGAUGUGGCCGACUGAAGAGCAAACCAAAGCUUGAAGGGGCCGUUGAGGCGAUAUAGGCAUGACAUAUUCUAUGGCCGAGGCCGGGUACAAGAAAUUUAAAGUCAGUGCAAUUGGUAUGCAUAUAUAAGAACAUCCAUUUGCAGCAUCUCCUCCAGUGCUUCCAUUGGUGAGGUUUGAGCAGAGCCCAUACAGGUUGUAUCUAACUCACAGACAUAUCUGAUGGCAGGAAAUGUAGUGUAAUGGACGUUAAUGGUAGCCAAUUUUGUUGUAAUUCAUGAAUAAGCUUUUAAGUAAUAUAUAUGUGGCCAACUUUAAUUUGUAGUGUUACUUGGAUUCCCUUUGAUUUGGCAAAAAACAUUCUUUACAAAAAUAUUUCUUGAAAAAAUGAACACAUUUUUUU